CUACGGGUUGCAGCAGUGAGGAAUAUUGCACAAUGGGGGGAACCCUGAUGCAGCAACGCCGCGUGGAGGAUGACGCAUUUCGGUGUGUAAACUCCUUUUAUAUGUCAAGAAAAUGACGGUAGCAUGUGAAUAAGCACCGGCUAACUCCGUGCCAGCAGCCGCGGUAAUACGGAGGGUGCAAGCGUUACUCGGAACCACUGGGCGUAAAGGACGCGUAGGCGGGCUUGUAAGUCAGGUGUGAAAUCCUACAGCUUAACUGUAGAACUGCACUUGAAACUACGAGCCUAGAGUAUGGGAGGGGCAGAUGGAAUUAGUGGUGUAGGGGUAAAAUCCGUAGAUAUCACUAGGAAUACCUAAAGCGAAGGCGAUCUGCUGGAACAUAACUGACGCUAAGGCGUGAAAGCGUGGGGAGCAAACAGGAUUAGAUACCCUAGUAGUC
rnacentral:rRNA from 1 species